UACGGAGGAUGCAAGCGUUAUCCGGAAUGAUUGGGCGUAAAGCGUCCGCAGGUGGCAAUGUAAGUCUGCUGUCAAAGCGUCUGGCUCAACCAGAUAAAGGCAGUGGAAACUACAUAGCUAGAGUAAGGUAGGGGUAGAGGGAAUUCCUGGUGUAGCGGUGAAAUGCGUAGAGAUCAGGAAGAACACCGGUGGCGAAAGCGCUCUGCUGGACCUUAACUGACACUGAGGGACGAAAGCUAGGGUAGCAAAUGGG
rnacentral:rRNA from 1 species